rnacentral:rRNA from 1 species
UGGGGAAUUGUUCGCAAUGGGCGCAAGCCUGACGACGCAACGCCGCGUGGAGGAUGAAGAUCUUCGGGUCGUAAACUCCUUUCGAUCGAGACGAAUUCCUUCGGGGUGAACAAUCCCGGAGGUUGACGGUACCGAGAGAAGAAGCCCCGGCUAACUCCGUGCCAGCAGCCGCGGUAAUACGUAGGGUGCGAGCGUUAAUCGGAAUUACUGGGCGUAAAGUGUGCGCAGGUGGCCGCGCAAGUCGAGUGUGAAAUCCCCGAGCUUAACUUGGGAAUUGCGCUCGAAACUACGUGGCUCGAGUGUGGCAGAGGAAGGUGGAAUUCCACGUGUAGCGGUGAAAUGCGUAGAGAUGUGGAGGAACACCGAUGGCGAAGGCAGCCUUCUGGGCCAAUACUGACGCUCAUGCACGAAAGCGUGGGGAGCAAA